CGGAGGGAAACCGAGUCUUAAUUGGGCGUUAAGUUGCAGGGUAUAGACCCGAAACCCGGUGAUCUAGCCAUGGGCAGGUUGAAGGUUGGGUAACACUAACUGGAGGACCGAACCGACUAAUGUUGAAAAAUUAGCGGAUGACCUGUGGCUGGGGGUGAAAGGCCAAUCAAACCGGGAGAUAGCUGGUUCUCCCCGAAAGCUAUUUAGGUAGCGCCUCGUGAAUUCAUCUCCGGGGGUAGAGCACUGUUUCGGCUAGGGGGCCAUCCCGGCUUACCAACCCGAUGCAAACUGCGAAUACCGGAGAAUGUUAUCACGGGAGACACACGGCGGGUGCUAACGUCCGUCGUGAAGAGGGAAACAACCCAGACCGCCAGCUAAGGUCCCAAAGUCAUGGUUAAGUGGGAAACGAUGUGGGAAGGCCCAGACAGCCAGGAUGUUGGCUUAGAAGCAGCCAUCAUUUAAAGAAAGCGUAAUAGCUCACUGGUCGAGUCGGCCUGCGCGGAAGAUGUAACGGGGCUAAACCAUGCACCGAAGCUGCGGCAGCGACACUAUGUGUUGUUGGGUAGGGGAGCGUUCUGUAAGCCUGUGAAGGUGGCCUGUGAGGGUUGCUGGAGGUAUCAGAAGUG
rnacentral:rRNA from 1 species